ensembl:lncRNA
AAUGUUUUCCCUUUUUCCAAUUACCAGAAAAUUCACCUGGUUGUCAUGACUUUUUGAAUAUCAUAGAGAGUAUCUUGGCAACUACAAUGGCUAAUUACCUCAGGACUCUGGGAUGCAUCUCAUCAGGUCCCAUAGUCUUAUGCACAGCCAGGAUCCUCAAGUGGUCACAAAUGUGAUCUCUUACAAUGGGAUGCACUUUGCUCCCCUAGUCCCCAGUUAUCAAGGCUGUUUGCUCCCUUACCCACCACACUUGUUUCCUGACAGACCGUGGUAUCCAGCCCAGACAAUUUAGUGGCUGGUGGACAGGAAAUCAGUGUUUCCUGUCUGCCUCUUCCCUGAUUAACCAAUAAGGUCAUGGAUAUAAUAAAAGGUUUGGGUUGGAAGGGAUCUUUAAAGACCACCUAGUCCAACCCCAAAUGAAGGACAUGUAAGUGGGAAAGCCUUUCCUCAGGCCGACCUCCUGAUCCUUGUAACCACUCUGUCUAACCUGGAUAAAACCAGCAGGAAAAUGGUCAGCUCCUGCAAAAGUCAAUACCUAGGGAAGCAAAGUAUCUUAUGUGAUUGAAAUAAAAAUAUAAUGCUUGGGUUUGUUUUUUCAUUUUUCUUUUAUAAACUAAAGUGUUUCAGUGUAUUUUUGGAAGCUAUUUCAAAAGAAGGUUUUGUCUUGUGUUUUUUUUCUGAUUUGCUGCCCAGAUGUACAUGUGACAAACUGAAAUAUGGCCAGUAGAUGCUUCAGAGCAGCCAUCUUCUCUCAAGCAGAGGGUGCUGAAAAAGGAGGCUGUGGCUGGUGUAUACAGGAUGGUGAGAUCCCUGAAGGUUUUGGUUGUGUGUUUUUCCCCUUUGUCCCCAUCUUGUAUUGCACAGUUGCUGGGAAAAUUUAUUCACCCAUGUUUGGGUAAGCAGAUGCUGUCAAGUCUUGACUGCCACCAAAAAUACCUUGAAGACAAAUCUACUUUUACCCCCAAGAAAAAGCGUGCAAGAAGCAAGCCUGUCUACUGAGCAAGAGGAGAAAAUAACAGGUGAAAGUUACCAGCUGGCCAGCACCAGCAAUUCCACUUACCAAGACAGGGGGCUGUCAUCUGGGUCUUUGAGAAGACUCAGGAUUAGACCCACAAAGGAGCUGCAGGUGUCCAGAGGAGUGGCAGCCUCACACAUAAUCCUGCUGGCUUGGACAGCCACCGUGCUCCGGCAGCAGCUCACCUCGGGCUCCCUUGGAGCACAGCUACUGCCCUAUGGAGCUGCUUCUGUGGCUGAGGCUCCCCAGCAGCACACGUGGACCUGGGAGCAAACCUUGGGCAGCAGAUUUCUCCAGCUUCACCUCAGAUGUAAUGACAAUACUGACUAACCUUCCUUCUCAACUUUCAUAUGAGUGGCUGCCUCAGCUUUUAUAAACACAUGCAGUGAUCUGAUUGUAACCUCUGUUCUCAGAAACAUACCUUAAAUGUGAGAGGCUGAGUCUUUAACCGAGCCCAUGGCCAUGGAUGAUGAGGCAUGCUUCCUGCAGGUUUCAGCUCCAUCUAUUGUUUAUUGUAACAAUGGAGAAAAAUGAAAUAUGUUUUUGAAAUCAGAAAUUUUAUGACACAUUUAGUUUGCAUUUCCUACUGAGGAAGCAUUAGGAAAUACCAAAAUUUAUAAAAGAGAAGGAAUAUGAGCAAACAGGAUCUAAAAUAAGGCUAGUGCAUUACCAACUGUAGCUCACUGAGUUACACUGAAUACAUUUAAGUUUAAUUAUUCGGGAGGCUAAUCACACAUAUAGAAGCUGCGACUGACAUCCUGUACAAGAGCAUGGACCUCCAGGAGCAUCAAAUCCUGAAACUUUGCUCCCACCUGCUGCAAGAUCCUCCUCCUGUGCAGAACUU